GUCGAGUGUCAGAGUUUGGAAAGAAAUUAAUGCAUUAUUGUUACAUUUAGUUACGAAAUGGCAAAAUUUUACAAGUCGUAUUGUGAUUUCUGAAAACUUGUAUUAUGGCCAAUAUGGGCAAAUCAUUUUGGUGAGGUGCGUGUAAAUACGUGCAAUUUAAUACUGUCGUCGUCUCUCGUCUCAUAUUCCCAGUCAGUUGUUAAGUUGUUAUCUCUUAUCUCACUUUUUCCUCGAACUGGCCUUUGUUAUCUAGCAGGUUUCGUAGCAAAAUCGUAAUUCGUUGCAAUUCGCUUUCUCAUUCUAUCUCGAAAUUCGGUGCCGAACGUUACGUGAUACGUGGAGAUAGAAUAGUGUUCAAACUUGGAAUAAUAAAUAUCGGUUCGGUUCGGUUUAUAAUUGAAAAUGAAUUUAACGUGCAAAGUUAUUCGUCUUUUCGAAAUUAGCCAUUAUUGGGGGCCUGCGACUAGGCUUCAACGUCCGCGACGUUUUUGGUUUUUCGGAUUUUUUUAACUCGUUUUAUCUUACUUAAUUUUGUAUUUCGUUUAAUUAGGUACACAAAAUGUCCAUUUUAUCGCGAUUCGUGGUGCGUGAUUUUUCGUGUCGUGCGGGCGAAUAUUUUCAGCAAGAUGGUGCCGGAUGCGGUCAGCCCAGCGAUGGUUUUUUCAGUAAAAGUGUGGUCCAAUCUUGUAGAUAUAAAUUUCGGUGAGUCGCAAUUUUUGUUAGUUUAAUGCAGUUGAGUUUCCGAAGAACCGGAAAGAAUCAGGUUGUAGUUUUUUCCUUUUAGAAAACUAAUCAUAUUUGCAGGGAUGAAACUGGGGGGAGAGGGGCUGUAAUUUAUUUGAAAACGUAA